rnacentral:rRNA from 1 species
UACGGGGGGGGUAAGCGUUGUUCGGAAUUACUGGGCGUAAAGGGCUCGUAGGCGGCCAACUAAGUCAGACGUGAAAUCCCUCAGCUUAACUGGGGAACUGCGUCUGAUACUGGAUGGCUUGGAUCCGGAAGAGGGAUGCGGAAUUCCAGGUGUAGCGGUGAAAUGCGUAGAUAUCAGGAGGAACACCAGUGGCGAAGGCGACUACCUGGCCUGUUCUUGACGCUGAGGCGCGAAAGCUAGGGGAGCAAACGGG